rnacentral:tRNA from 1 species
GCGCCCGUAGCUCAGCCGGAAAGAGCGUCUGCCUUCUAAGCAGAGGGUCGGGAGUUCGAGUCUCCCCGGGCGCGCCA